rnacentral:rRNA from 1 species
GACGAACGCUGGCGGCGUGCUUAACACAUGCAAGUCGAGCGGAAAGGCCCUGCUUGCAGGGUACUCGAGUGGCGAACGGGUGAGUAACACGUGGGUGAUCUGCCCUGCACUUCGGGAUAAGCCUGGGAAACUGGGUCUAAUACCGGAUAUGACCUUCCAUGUAGUGUGGGGGGUGGAAAGAUUUAUCGGUGUGGGAUGAGCCCGCGGCCUAUCAGCUUGUUGGUGGGGUAAUGGCCUACCAAGGCGUCGACGGGUAGCCGGCCUGAGAGGGUGGACGGCCACAUUGGGACUGAGAUACGGCCCAGACUCCUACGGGAGGCAGCAGUGGGGAAUAUUGCACAAUGGGCGGAAGCCUGAUGCAGCGACGCCGCGUGGGGGAUGACGGCCUUCGGGUUGUAAACCUCUUUCGACAGGGACGAAGCUUCGGUGACGGUACCUGUAUAAGAAGCACCGGCUAACUACGUG